GGAUUAGAUACCCUGGUAGUCCACGCCGUAAACGAUGUGUGCUAGCCGUCGGGCCCUUCGGGUUCGGUGGCGCCGCUAACGCAUUAAGCACACCGCCUGGGGAGUACGGCCGCAAGGUUAAAACUCAAAGGAAUUGACGGGGGCCCGCACAAGCGGUGGAGCAUGUGGUUUAAUUCGACGCAACGCGCAGAACCUUACCAGCCCUUGACAUGGGGGUCGCGGAGAUCAGAGAUGGUUUCUUUCAGUUCGGCUGGACCCCGCACAGGUGCUGCAUGGCUGUCGUCAGCUCGUGCCG
rnacentral:rRNA from 1 species